GCAGCCGCGGUAAGACAGAGGAUGCGAACGUUGCUCGGAUUUACUGGGCGUAAAGCGCGUGUAGGCGGUCUCGUUAGGUCGGGUGUGAAAAGCCCCGGCUCAACCCGGGAAGUGCACCGAUACUGCGAGACGUGGGGUACUGAAGAGGAGAGCGGAAUUCCCGGUGUAGAGGUGAAAUUCGUAGAUAUCGGGAGGAACACCAGUGGCGAAGGCGGCUCUCUGGGCAGAUACCGACGCUGAGACGCGAAAGCGUGGGGAGCAAACAGGAUUAGAUACCCUGGUAGUCCACGCUGUAAACGAUGACGACUGGGUGUUGCAGGUAUUGACCCCUGCGGUGCCGAAGCCAACGCGUUAAGUCGUCCGCCUGGGAAGUACGGCCGCAAGGCUAAAAACUCAAAGGAAUUGACGGG
rnacentral:rRNA from 1 species